rnacentral:tRNA from 1 species
CAUUAGGAAGCUUGCAACAGCACUAGCCUUUUAAGCUAGGGAAUGGACCCCCCCCACCAAAUGA